UCCUACGGGAGGCAGCAGUGGGGAAUAUUGCACAAUGGGCGCAAGCCUGAUGCAGCCAUGCCGCGUGUGUGAAGAAGGCCUUCGGGUUGUAAAGCACUUUCAGUAGGGAGGAAGGUGGUAGUGUUAAUAGCGCUAUCAUUUGACGUUACCUACAGAAGAAGCACCGGCUAACUCCGUGCCAGCAGCCGCGGUAAUACGGAGGGUGCGAGCGUUAAUCGGAAUUACUGGGCGUAAAGCGCAUGCAGGUGGUUUGUUAAGUCAGAUGUGAAAGCCCCGGGCUCAACCUGGGAAUUGCAUUUGAAACUGGCAAACUAGAGUACUGUAGAGGGGGGUAGAAUUUCAGGUGUAGCGGUGAAAUGCGUAGAGAUCUGAAGGAAUACCGGUGGCGAAGGCGGCCCCCUGGACAGAUACUGACACUCAGAUGCGAAAGCGUGGGGAGCAAACAGGAUUAGAUACCCUGGUAGUCCACGCCGUAAACGAUGUCUACUUGGAGGUUGUGGCCUUGAGCCGUGGCUUUCGGAGCUAACGCGUUAAGUAGACCGCCUGGGGAGUACGGUCGCAAGAUUAAAACUCAAAUGAAUUGACGGGGGCCCGCACAAGCGGUGGAGCAUGUGGUUUAAUUCGAUGCAACGCGAAGAACCUUACCUACUCUUGACAUCCAGA
rnacentral:rRNA from 1 species